rnacentral:rRNA from 1 species
UCCGUAGGUGGAUAAUUAAGUCAGAGGUGAAAUCCUGCAGCUCAACUGUAGAAUUGCCUUUGAUACUGGUUAUCUUGAGUCAUUAUGAAGUGGUUAGAAUGUGUAGUGUAGCGGUGAAAUGCAUAGAUAUUACACAGAAUACCGAUUGAAGGCAGAUCACUAAUAAUGUACUGACACUGAUGGACGAAAGCGUGGGGAGCGAACAGGAUUAGAUACCCUGGUAGUCC